rfam:Bacteroides thetaiotaomicron VPI-5482, complete genome.
AUGCAAAUCGCCUGAUAAAGCUUCUUAUGGGUAUGCGAAUAUAGAUAAGUCAAGCAAGGUAUGCCUCCCCGGCAUUACAGGUAAGA